rnacentral:rRNA from 1 species
UCCAGACUCCUACGGGAGGCAGCAGUGGGGAAUAUUGCACAAUGGGGGAAACCCUGAUGCAGCGACGCCGCGUGAGUGAAGAAGUACUCCGGUAUGUAAAGCCCUGUCAGCAGGGAAGAAAAUGACAGUACCUGACCAAGAAGCACCGGCUAAAUACGUGCCAGCAGCCGCGGUAAUACGUAUGGUGCAAGCGUUAUCCGGAUUUACUGGGUGUAAAGGGGGCGCAGACGGCGAUGCAAGCCAGGAGUGAAAGCCCGGGGCCCAACCCCGGGACUGCUCUUGGAACUGCGUGGCUGGAGUGCAGGAGGGGCAGGCGGAAUUCCUGGUGUAGCGGUGAAAUGCGUAGAUAUCAGGAGGAACACCGGUGGCGAAGGCGGCCUGCUGGACUGCAACUGACGUUGAGGCCCGAAAGCGUGGGGAGCAAACAGGAUUAGAUACCCCCGUA